UACGUAGGGUGCAAGCGUUAUCCGGAAUUAUUGGGCGUAAAGAGCUCGUAGGCGGUUUGUCGCGUCUGCUGUGAAAACCCGAGGCUCAACCUCGGGCCUGCAGUGGGUACGGGGCAGACUAGAGUGCGGUAGGGGAGAUUGGAAUUCCUGGUGUAGCGGUGGAAUGCGCAGAUAUCAGGAGGAACACCGAUGGCGAAGGCAGAUCUCUGGGCCGUAACUGACGCUGAGGAGCGAAAGCGUGGGGAGCGAACGGG
rnacentral:rRNA from 1 species